UAGGGAAUCUUCCACAAUGGGCGCAAGCCUGAUGGAGCAACGCCGCGUGAGUGAAGAAGGUUUUCGGAUCGUAAAACUCUGUUGUUAGAGAAGAACACGAGUGAGAGUAACUGUUCAUUCGAUGACGGUAUCUAACCAGCAAGUCACGGCUAACUACGUGCCAGCAG
rnacentral:rRNA from 1 species